GAUGAACGCUGGCGGCGUGCCUAAUACAUGCAAGUCGAGCGAACGGACGAGAAGCUUGCUUCUCUGAUGUUAGCGGCGGACGGGUGAGUAACACGUGGAUAACCUACCUAUAAGACUGGGAUAACUUCGGGAAACCGGAGCUAAUACCGGAUAAUAUUUUGAACCGCAUGGUUCAAAAGUGAAAGACGGUCUUGCUGUCACUUAUAGAUGGAUCCGCGCUGCAUUAGCUAGUUGGUAAGGUAACGGCUUACCAAGGCAACGAUGCAUAGCCGACCUGAGAGGGGAGUCGGCCCCCCGGAACUUAGAACCCGGUCCAACACCCUCGGGGGGGCCGCGGGGGGGAUCUUCCCGGAAGGGGCGAAAGCUGACCGGGCCAACCCCGGGGGGGGGAUGAAGUCCUUCGAUUCGUAAAACCUUUUUUUGGGGGAAAAAAAAUUUUGAAAGUAACUGGGCCCAUUUUGACGGUCCCUAAUCAAAAAGCCCCGGCUAACUGCUU
rnacentral:rRNA from 1 species